UUGCAUAUCCCAAAUGCGGAGGAAAAGAAACCAACCGGGAUUGCCUUAGUAACGGCGAGUGAAGCGGCAAAAGCUCAAAUUUGAAAUCUGGCGUCUUCGACGUCCGAGUUGUAAUUUGAAGAAGGCGACUUUGUAGCUGGUCCUUGUCUAUGUUCCUUGGAACAGGACGUCAUAGAGGGUGAGAAUCCCGUGUGGCGAGGAUCCCAGUUAUUUGUAAAGUGCUUUCGACGAGUCGAGUUGUUUGGGAAUGCAGCUCUAAGUGGGUGGUAAAUUCCAUCUAAAGCUAAAUAUUGGCGAGAGACCGAUAGCGAACAAGUACAGUGAUGGAAAGAUGAAAAGAACUUUGAAAAGAGAGUGAAAAAGUACGUGAAAUUGUUGAAAGGGAAGGGCAUUUGAUCAGACAUGGCGUUUGCUUCGGCUUUCGCUGGGCCAGCAUCAGUUUUAGCGGUUGGAUAAAUCCUCGGGAAUGUGGCUCUGCUUCGGUAGAGUGUUAUAGCCCGUGGGAAUACAGCCAGCUGGGACUGAGGAUUGCGACUUUUGUCAAGGAUGCUGGCGUAAUGGUUAAAUGCCGCCCGUCUUAACACCCGGACCA
rnacentral:rRNA from 2 species